rnacentral:lncRNA from 1 species
GCCCUCGGCCGCUCUGGCCGAGCGCAGAGGACCCGCGGGGCAGCCGCUCCUAGCCCGGUCCGCCCUUCGAGCCUUUGCUUUUUGUUCGUUUUGGGGGAGGACUCUCAGAGACCCCUGUGGCACUGCGGAGGACGCGGGCCCAGGAGCGCGACCCGUCCCCCUAGCUCGCACCCGCAGGAAAUAGGUCAGCCCCGGUUGUCGGUGGUAACUGCCACCACCUCACGUGCCCGAGCCCUGUGACUCGGUGACCGCUCUGCUCUGUGACCCGUUUCCCCUUGAGGUAGACUCUUGUCCUCAGCCCAGAGUGUGAGAACCAAAGGGGCCAGAUUAAGGUUGGGAAAAGGUUCACAAGAAGUCACCAGAGUACUGACCCCUUGUUCGGAAACCCCUCCCAGGAGAGCAGAAUUAGAGUCAAAAUACAAGUAGCCCCAGGGCUACCCGCAACAGAAGUCUAUUUUUAAAACAUACAAUCCAUUUGCUUGCCCAUAUUUUGUGGGUCAGUUUUGAGAAUUCAUAUAUUCUGGAUAAAGAAUUACAGGGAUGGAAAUGGAGAGGAGUCUGAAGAAAAGAAGGUCCAGCGACAGGCCCAAAGUGGGAUCCAGCACUAAAGGAGGUCCCAAGGCCUGAUACUAAUACUGAGGCUAUGGAGUGCUCACAAAAAGGGAUUUAUCAUGACUGCCUUCCAAAAGACACAACAAACAACUAUGCAGAUAUUUGCACUCAACCAAUGGACAGAAGCAGCUGACCCCUGUUGUUGAAUUAGGGAAGGCUGAAAGAAGCAAACUAAGUUCCUACUGGCGGGUCGCUACCACACCAGCCCCACGUUUCCAAAUUCCCAUGGCCUUUUGGGGUAUACUUCUUGCAAACCCGCGCUUUGCCUCUACCUUUCUCCCUGGAACCCAGUUGAGUUGCCACAUGAAGGAAAACACCAUACAAACUUAGUUCAGAAUCAACAGGCAACUCAAUUGUUGGGCACAGCAACAAACAUCCUAAUUUGUAAGGUAUACUAAAUUUAACUCCUCUGGUGGGGAAUCCCGGGGAUCCGCCAUCUAAACUGAGGGUCUCUUGUUAGCUACAUACUGUCCUCCAAGCUCUCCCUGUCCAAAAGCAAGACACCUUUUCCUGCCUCUCCUUCCCCUCUCUGACCUGGAAGUCCUGCCUACUCCUCACCCAGUGACUGGUUCCUAGAUAUCUUGAUUCUUUAGGGGAAUGUUCACAGGAAGUCAUCUGAGUAUGUAAUUCACUCCUCCUCCCAGGCAGCCCCUCUUGGGGAAGCAGAAUUAGCAUCAAAAUACAAUCAGCACCAGAGCUAUCCACAGCACUUCCCCCUUUCUGUGCAAUUAAAAGGCUCUUUUAUCUCAGAUAUAAAUUGACCAUAACUAUUACCAUUCUGUAAUUUAUAAAGUACAAAAUACACCAAGUCCAUCGUUUUUGUCAAUUAAAUAGAACAUUCAGUUAUUUAUCCUAAUGUUAAAAAAAAAAGGCUUAUAAAUUCAUGUUAUAUCCUGGUUUAGCUUGUAUACCAUCUGAAAACUGUCUUCUCAACUAUAUUUUCUCAAUGUUAAGUAGCCUAUGUUGGCUAUGAGACUAUAACUAGUCUUUCAACCCGUCAGAAAUCCAAGAACAACCAAUAUUAUCUUAAAAUAUAGGAAGCCUAACACAACUUCCAGAACUGAGACAAAUUAUAGAGACAGCUGCCUGCCUAUCCAGCCCCAGUAAGUCAGGAAGUUGGAGCAUCAGCUUUCAGCCUUCUCAGGAUAUUCUGACAGACCCUGGAAAACAGAAGUUAUUAAGGACUAGCUUAUUCUGUCUCUGUAGAACUAAGCUAUCCUAACCUGUGACUUGUGUCCUCUCAAGGACGGUACAGGUCUGCAGGAGAGACAGGCAGUUUCUGCCCAGGGGCCACCUAGCCACAGUGGACAGCCUCACCUGGAGGUAGAGGUGCUCAGCUGCUUCUUUGAAUCAACAAAUGGGGAGCUGUUAGGAGCAGAUAUGUCUCGACAACAAGUGAAUAAAUAACAUUAAAUGCCUGUUAACCACUUUCUUCUAUUUCUAAUUAAAUUAUCUUGAAAACACCCU